AAUCCAUGAUAUGGACAUUUUCUUUGUAACUCCUUAAAUCGCUCUCAAGUUUCAUAUAAUUAUUCACCAUCCUAUUGGUGAAAACCAGUUAUUUUUAUUUGCAAUU